rnacentral:tRNA from 1 species
GCGGCCAUAGUCUAGCCUGGUCUAGGAUAGAACCCUUCCAAGGUUCUGAGCCGGGUUCAAAUCCCGGUGGCCGCACCA